AGAGUUUGAUCCUGGCUCAGGAUGAACGCUGGCGGCGUGCUUAACACAUGCAAGUCGAGCGAAAAUAAUUGAGAGCUUGCUUUUGAUUAUUUUAGCGGCGGACGGGUGAGUAACGUGUGGGUAACCUGCCUUUUACUGUGGAAUAAUCGUUGGAAACGACGACUAAUACCGCAUACGAUUUUCUGAAGGCAUCUUCGGAAAAAGAAAGGAAAUAUUCGGUAAAAGAUGGGCCCGCAUCUGAUUAGCUAGUUGGUGAGAUAAUAGCCCACCAAGGCAACGAUCAGUAGCCGACCUGAGAGGGUGACCGGCCACAUUGGGACUGAGACACGGCCCAAACUCCUACGGGAGGCAGCAGUGGGGAAUAUUGCACAAUGGGCGAAAGCCUGAUGCAGCAACGCCGCGUGAAGGAAGACGGUUUUCGGAUUGUAAACUUCUAUCAAUAGGGAAGAAAGAAAUGACGGUACCUAAAUAAGAAGCCCCGGCUAACUACGUGCCAGCAGCCGCGGUAAUACGUAG
rnacentral:rRNA from 1 species